UUUCUUAAAGGAAUUUUUAACCUGAUCACCAGAUUAUCUACAAGGGAAUUUUUUUAAUUUUUAAAAUUCCCUUAUGGGUAAUCUGGUGAUCAGGUUAGAUGGCUCC
ensembl:miRNA